UAAAGGUGUGCUGAUCUCCACAGUUCGGGGCCGACCGGGAGCUAACACCGGGAGCGCAUUAUGAUUUUCGUUUCGUUUUAUUUUGAGGAGGAAAGCAAAGAGAAGUAAUCCUCAAUUGGGAUGCUGGAGGAGCUGGACAUGGCCGGGAAGCAGGCGAACUGAAAAGUUAUUUUGUCUUUAUUUUAACUUAUUUUAGCUAAUUGUUUUUGCCCGGAACCCGUGAGGGGGAAGGGUGAAGUGGUCCGUUUAUUUUAUUUCGUCUUUGUGUGGGUGCGCUCUCUCUCCAUGCUAUAUACAACGGUGUUGCCAGGGUCCAUUUCUCAUCAUCGUCAAAGUGUGUGUCUCCACCUAUACCCUGCCCAGGAGACAUGGCAUGGGCCAGAACUCCACUGGGACCAUCGAAGGGAGAGGAGUCGCCAUGAUCUGAAUGUGAAGCAGAGGGAAUUGUAUGGUUUAGUGAACCCUAGCAAGAGGUCUUCCCGAAAAGUGUUGGUAUCUGCUGACGUCAGAGACCCCACAGCGCGGCUUGCUCAUCAACUCCAGAGUGUUGGAGUCCAGUUUCCCAGUCACCUCCAGGCCAAAGAAUUCCUGCAUUGAUUGAAGCCUCUCCGUAAAGUUGGUCGGUCCUAUUCCUCUGCCUUUUGAACCGCUGGAUCCAACAACUGGAAAGAACUGGGACAGGUAGUGCUGGAAAAAAAGGUAUGACAAGAAAAUAAUUAUUUAUGCAGAUGCUGCCAAAAGUCAUCCGUGCAAUUACAAUUUAUUUAGGCCUUGUUUGGCCUUUAAAUGAUUGCCAAGCAGAUUAGAUGAGCUGGUGUUUCAGUACAAUUUCAAAAUGGAAUGGCAGGUGUUCUUCUGCCACGUUUACUCAAAUGGCAUGGUGCAAUGCAUAUAAUCUACUUUUGCAAUGCAUGAAUGAUCCAUUGUGAUCAUCCUUUAUCUAAUGCUGAUAUAAGGCAAUGUUGUGUUACUACAUACUGAUGUGGGUGGUAGUGUGGUGAAGUGGAUAUGCAUUUGUGCAAGAAGAUUGCUGGUUUGUUUCCCAAGAGGACCACUGCCACUUCGGCAUGUCCUUGAGCAAGGUACACAACCAGAAUUCUUUCAAAAAGUAGAAAGAUCAACACACGUAAAUUCUUACAUGACUUUCUCUGCGUGUUUGAUAAGCAAAUUAAUCAUAAAAAUAGCACAGAAGUAAAAAUGAAGUAUGGCAGUUUUGCAUCUACCAAAUAAAAGUUGUUCAGUCUGAACAGAAGUUUAUUUUUGAAUUAUUUUUAUAUGAUGUAUUAAUCAAUCAAUCAAUCAAUCAAUAAACCUUUAUUUCAUCUUGAGAAACCAUUGAAGAAGAAUCUUCUUUUACAAUGAUGUCGAGUUACAGAGAUUGAAACUUUAAAACAUUUAGUGUAAAAAGAAUUGCAAGUUAAGUGCAACAGAAAUUAAAAAUUAGAAAUUAAAAAUCAAUCAACAUUUAAACAGAGAAUCGCUCUGUAUUUUAUUACAAAUGUAAGGGGCAUUAUAACUGAAGGCAAUUUUUCCAAGGUCGGUUUUUUCACUGGUCGUACAUGUCGGAUAAGCCUGCUUUGAGAAUACGUACUAUCACUUACUGGAUUAAAAGAGACUAGAUCUAUAGUGGCUGUUUAUUUAAUAUUGUUUUAAAAAUAAAUAAACAAAUAAAUAAAAAUGAUAAAUACUGAUACUCUUCUUACUGAUGGAGAGGACCACCCAACCUUUGCCUACAAGAGACAAUGGUGUGUGUUAUAGCUGUCACUGGUGAUAAUCCUAAAUGCUGAGUGGUAAACAGUAUCUAGUGGUGUCAGAGUAGUAGCAACAGAGCAACCAUAGAUUAUAUCACCAUAAUCAAGUACAGAUAAAAAUUGUGAUUCUACUAUUUUUUUUCUAUGGAGCCUGGGAAAACAGAACUUAUUUCAGUAUUGAAAGCCUAAUUGUGUCUGCAGUUUUGCAACUAGUUUGUUAACAUGAAAUGUAAAACUUAGUUUAUCAUCAACCCAGAUUUCUAGAUAUUUAUAUUGAUCGACUCUCUCUAUUCUAUUGAAAGAAUAGAUACCAUGAUUGAAAUCAGUACACUUAGCCUUUGAAAACACCAUCCAUUUGUUAGUUUUUUUUUUUGUUUUUUUUUUUUGGAAUUUAAACUAACUUCAUGUUUAAUAGUAAUAUAUGAAGAGUAUUAAAAGAGUGUUGCAAGUUUACAAUGGUUGCCUAUAUAGAAUUUGCAGAAAAAUACAAAAUUGUGUCAUCAGCAUAAAAAUGGAAUUAGUAUGAAUCCAAAGAAAAAGCAAUGUCAUUAAUAUAAACUGCAAAUAGAACUGGUCCCAAAACAUAACCCUGUGGAACACCCUUACUGAUAUGCAAAUGGUCAGACUGGACAUCACCCAUUUUUCAGAGAGAUAGUUCUCAAACCACAAAUAGCCCUGGUGGUUGAGGCCCAUGUGAGACAGACAACCCAGACGCAAAGAUGAUCCGAAGUAUCAAAGACUUUAUACAGGUCUACAAACAGAGUGGCACAGGACUUUCUGUUGUCCAGAUCUAAAAACCAAGGAUAUGGCUGAAGUAAUGCUAUGCUUAGGCCUAAAUCCAGAUUGGUAAGGGCUAACCUAAUAUUAGAAAAUAUUACCUUUGCUUUUUCUUGAUCCUCAACGGUGACAUCCUGACUUGAAGAUGGGGCAGUUUGACAAAGACUGAAAACCACUGCAGUGAUCAGUGUGAAAACUACACAAUGGUCCAUUGCUCCAGCCAUCAUCUUCUGCAGAAAAGAGACUAGAAAAUUUCUAUCAACCCAACUCACCUCCCUAUUUAUAACAUGGAGGGCGUGGACACAGGUCCGCUUUUUCGUAAUUUUGAGAUAUACAAAGCCUGUUUGGGUUACCAGAUACAGUAUGCAUCCAGUACAAGUCUCAUUGCUGAGCAGCGUAAUACUGGGAUGUGCCUAGACAGGCCCUUGGCCUCAGGAGUAAGGGACUGUGAAGUUACGGUGAUGGGGAGGAGGGUGCCCACGCUGAGGUUCACGAUAUCCUUGCGACAGAUCUGAGAACAGAUUAAGAGAUGUGUUGCAACACAUGUGAAACCUUCUUUACGUAACAUGAUUGCAGUGGGCUCAAAUCCGAGACAAUCCGAUGUCCUGCUUUGGCUGCAAGUGCCGUCUUGCAUUGUGAUGCUGUGCUCAUGUUUAUUAGUAUCAUUAUUUAAUCAAUUACUGAAGUGAGACCAUAAUCGAUUUUAAAUGGUUAAUGGACUGCAUUUACAUAGCGAUUUUAUCCAAAGCGCUUUACAAUUGAUGCCACUCAUUCACCAGAGCAGUUAGGGGUUAGGUGUCUUGCUCAAGGACACUUCGACACGCCCAGGGCGGGGAUCGAACUGGCAACCCUCUGACUGCCAGGCAACCGAUCUUACCUCCUGUGUUAUGUCGAUUUUACAAGAGAGACCGCUUUAACAUUCGCUAAACAUUAAAUGAAUUGUUUAUUUAAAGUCCAUUCAAAAUUCUAAAUUCAGGCUUUUUUGGAGGUUUAUGUAUUGCAGUUAAUUUCACUGUAACAAAACCGAUCUAUUUGGGCUGAAAAUGGUCACCCAGAAAUGAUGUGUCCAAUGAUGUGUCAUAAGUCGGUUGGAAUACACUGUUCCUCAAGAAGCCACGUGUUUUACCACAAGAAACCGACACUUUCAUGCUUGGGAUAUGUUGUGUUUGAAAUCACUCACUCAUCCAUUCCAAACCUCUGAAAUUUCACAGAAUUUUCAUUCAAAUACCAAAAAAUGCAGGUGCACAAGAGGUCGGAGCCAGGGUUACACUAUUUGUCCUUUUUUGACCAAUGAGGGCGUUUGGUCUCUGUCUUCAGGGUUUGCCCUCAGAAAACGCACGGUUUAAAGCGCAUGGUGCAAGUGCAUUUAGGGCGUGUCCAAAUCCACUUUUGCUAGUUUAACGGCGGAUAAUCUGACCCCAAAGUAAGGCCCAUAGUUCAAGGGGGUUGAAUCAAAGUGUCAUCUCCCAUUCCCUUUAAAAGCCAGGUGCGCUUGCACUUUGGUGAAUUGCUAUUGCAUUUGUUCAUGCACUGUGUCUUAUCUUUAUUUAUCUCCAUCUAUUUGGUUCUGGUAAUCUUUUCAUUUUGGUUCUGGUCACUCAAAGACAACUUUUCUGCUGUGUAGUAAAAUGGGCCAUCAUUACAGAUGGUUUCAGUAGCUAUUUUAUAUAUUCUAGAUACACUACCUUCAGAAAGUAUUUGUAUCCUUGAACUUUUUUACAUUUUGUUUUGUUAUACCUUAUUUUUUUAUGCAUUUAAAUAUAGUUUCCUCUUUACCAACAUAAUGCAUGAUGGUGCAAAAAUAUCUGUAUGUUUGUAUGCACAUUGGAGUUCUAUGAACUUUAGUCCAUUCCUCCUUGCAAAUUCCCUCCAACUCUGCCAAGUAAUAAGAAGAGUAUCAGUGACUUCAGGCCAUACCAGAGAGUUUCAAUGGGCUUUGGCCAGGCCAUUCUAGAAAAUUUACCUUCUUGUUUUUAAGAUAUUCUUUUAAACAUUUAGUUCAAAGUUCAAUGUUAUAAGCAAUACAGUAAAAGUGCUUCAGUAAGUUCUUGACCAAAGCAAGCAAUUAUCAAAAUAAGACAAAGUUCUUUUUUACAUAACAAGGAGUGAUGCCAUUUUGUUUUCCACCCAGCUAGCUAGCAACAUGCCAUUAAUGCUUUACAUAAAGACAUUUCCUGAGUGGGCCUAACAUUGAAAGCUGAAAGACUGUUGGUGUUGUCCAAAUAACUCUUGAGAUGGAAAAAAACUGAAAUUGAGUACUGGAGGUGAAACAACUUGCUGUCUAGACAACUGUGGCCAAUGUGAUUACGCAGUAGGGGCAGUUGCAGUGCUAUCAGUAGUUGUGUAAGGUUGCAUUACAAACAGGCCACGUUAGCAAGUGUGUUUUUCUCCACUUAUGUCACGGCCCUUGCACGUAUGUAAUCACAGAACUGUUUACAGAAAUAGUUUCAGCCUAAAGUUAUUUCUAUGCUUUUAUUUCUUCCUCAGGCUGUCAACACAAGUAUGCAUGCACAUACACACACACACACACACACACAUAUAUAUAUAUAUAUAUAUAUAUAUAUAUACACAGUGACCACUACAAGUUUUUAAUAUCAUUAGGGUAAUAUUCAUACUUUUUCCUUUCCUAUUCUUAUAACAUCUUCACAAAAUGACCACAUGAUAUGUGUAGGCAUUCAAGAAUUAUGUAGGACACAAUUUUAUAUUGUUUGCAUAUUGCGUAUAUACAUAUUCAGCCUACACAGGCAUUAUAAGAAUCUUCCAGUGAUGUUGAGAAACUUAUGGUAAUUUAAAAUGGAUAUUAAAUUGCCUGGGGUUAUUUCUGAAACUGUCAUAAAUGGAAAAAUACCUUUUUUUGGGUGUGGGUGUGUGUAUUGGGGGGCUUUGUGUAAUUUGUGAGGAUACACUAGAGAAUAAACUUCUGUUUUGGGGGGAGAGAAUACUUUUUAUAUAAUAGUAUAUUUUAUAUAAUAAUAUAAACCAGAACCAGUUUGUUCUGGUUUGAUUGAUAUCUUUUGUUAUCCAGUAGAGGACAGCAUACAGUAAGCUUUCCAACAGUGUAUUUCAUACCUCGUUUGAGCCUUUGAACCCUGUGAACCCUGGCCCAAAUACAGGGUGUGCCAAAGUCCCUUUUCAUGACAGGAAAAACUCUGGAUACUCUCGCUCCACACAAUUGCAAUCACAAAUACAUUUUUACACAAAUCUGUCAGACGUUCCUCACAUGGAACAACACACGGAAUACAAGAAUUUUGUCCCAUAUUCCGCUUUUCUAAAACCCAAAUCCUUUUUGGCAAGAGUAUGGCAAAAUCACCCAGUGAACUUAUGUGUUUAGUUUUUAUUCAUUCCUGGAAUCGUAGUUUUCCAUUUUAGGCGAUAGCUUGUAUGGUUUGCUGCUCAAACAAUGUAACAAAAUAAAAUACAAUAUCUUUAUUGUCCACGAAAAGCAUGAGUGAAAGGGCAAAUGCUAAGGACACAGGUGUUCCAGAUCAUUCUUGUUUAUUGAUAAUAAGUGUUAGCUUGUUAUUACUUGUGCAUUAACAGUUCGGUGUUCAUUGCUGUAAUAUUCCUGCAUUUUCUUUAUCUAUUUCGUAAAACUUCCUUAUAAAAUGGGCAUUCUAGAAUAUGCAAUAUGAUGUCGGAGACAUCAUAUUGCAUACAUAUUCAACGCAUACAACUUGAAUAUCUCAGGACUGUAUACCUAGUAUUUUUAUUAAAUACUUUCUAAAUUUCAUUUUAGAAAAGCAAAUGCAUGUCUUGUGAUAUUUAAAAAAUGGUCUCUGCUAAACUACACAUAGCCUAUUCCAUGACAUCUCCAUUAUUUGAAAGUCAAACGUUUAAUUUAAUCUGCCAGCAGAUGGCAGUCCUGACCUUCAUGAAAAAUCGAGACGCAUCCAGCUGCAGGCAUAGAGGACCAAGCACAGUAGUUUCCGACAGCUGCAGUUUUAGACGACGCGUAUGCAAGGAAACUAUUUCGAUAAAUCUGAAAAUGCAGACGGAAAAGAGGGUAAAUUAUAAUCUCAACAAAAACACAUUUUCAACAUACAAAAAUGCCAAAUUGAAAGCACUGUCUAUAAGCCAAUCAAUUAAAACUAUUGCAGUGGGUCGAAAGUUUACAUACACCAAGUUGACUGUUUCUUUAAACUGGAAGAUUCCAGAAAUUGAUGUGAUGACUUUUUUAGAAGCUUCUGAUUGGCCAAAUAUCAUAAUUAGGAGUUAAUUGGGAGCUGCUUGGCACUUGUGGCUGUAUUUAAGGGCCUACCUUUAGAGCCACUGCCUUUUUGCCCUUGAUACCAUGGGAAAAUCCAAGCAACUCAAAGUUUUCAAGCAUCAUUGCCUGCCUGCCUAAUUAUUACAUGCCUAAUAAUUAACAUACCUAUCUGCCUAAUAAUUAACAUACCCCUCACAGCUCACUAUUAAGAUCACGUUUUGGGAAUCUUAGUGCUUUUUGGGCAACCAUUCUGAAUUUUUAUUUUAAAAAAAGUCUUUCAUCGGUCCAAAUUUUUGGGCACCUUUUGAAAUUUCUAUUUCCUGCCUCAGAAAACUAUGAAAAAAGGUGCUUAAAUACAUUCAAUACUCAAUCCAGAACAUGUUACUGCAUUUCUGAAAACUUCCAUUCCUGUAAAUAAACGUCCUUUUCAUCAAGUUUAAGAGACCUUCCUUUUUCUUCUUAUAACAAUCGCAACCUGUCACCUAUUAUGAUUCUUUUAUUAAUAUAUUACAAUACAGGCCUACUUAGUAUGAUAAAGUCAUUUAAUACGAUCAAUUAAUAAAAUAAUGCAUAAUGAUAAUUCUUUACGAACAUCACAAUGUGUCUGUAAUUCUUUUAAGACUCCCUUCUCUAAAAAAUAUGUUUUUUAAUGGUUAACCCCUCUUCCUGGAUUCCUCCCAAGAUUUCUUCUUAUUGAGGAGUUUUUUUUUUUGUUUGUUUGUUUUUUGUUUUGUUUUACUCGCUCACUUUUUGUUGUUUCAGAUCUGUUUUUUGUAAAAUUUGCAUUUUUGUUUCCUCUAUAAAGUGUCUUUGUGACACUGUCUCAGUAUACACAUUUGCAAAGUCUGCACGGUUGGCUGGACCUAUUAGAAACAGUUGAAUUCCAUUUCGCAAUUGCCAGUUUUAAUCACAAAAAUGAUACACAAUGUACAUCCUUACUGUGAUUCAGAGUGAUGGAAAAUCCCAUUAUGUUUUUAAUGAUUGAAGGAAGUCCAAAACCCAAAGGUGGACAGUCUAAGGAGCAGGGAAUAAAUGAGUCAGUCAAGUGUUUGCUUUGGACAUCAAGGUGUCAGGAAGGCCCCUGCUCACACAGAGUCACAUUGAAAUCACCUCCUGAAGGAGGGAAGUGUAUACUUAGGUGAAUUACUUGUGCAACUAGGACACCUGUAGCCUGGAGGUAACUCAGUGAUGCAUAGCUAAAUGCCUCUUCAUGUCCAAACAUGACACAAGAUGGACAGACAUGCUAUUUAGUGCAUGCUAAAUAAUUCCUAGAAGACUUCACAGCAUUUUAUUCUCCUGGGUUUCUUAUUCUCCCUCGUUUUAGCUUUCUUACGAAGACCCGAAAGAACCACAAAUCAAGCUGAUGAAAAUAUACAUCUCUUGACCCAGGUCAUUGUAGCAGUAAUUAAUGCUGAUUAUUUAAAAAAAAAAAAUGUAUUUAGUACAGUAAGAAUUAUUAUACUCUACUCCAGGAUUCAAAACACAAUAAGAGACAAAACUCAGAAGCUCUGGUGACAAUUAGCCAUAGUAACUUCUGUAUGAAAUCACUGUACCCGUGACCAGAUAACAUUAUGCCUUGCAUUGUGUUUGGUAAUCAACUUUUUACUCUCUUUCCUCUCUUUUUAGUUGUCACAUGAAGGCCCUAUAUGACACCAAAUAAAAUGCUGUCAGUUAACCUAGACCCUAGUCAGCCUUAAUUUGUUGCCUUCUUGUGUUUUGUUUUCGCAUUGAUGCACACGGAGAGCACUCGUAGAGCAGCAGAACAGGUACGGCUCCAGCCUUUCUGCCACCCUAGAUGAGAUUGUGGACCAGAAACGGGGGGCUGGAGGUAGCGAUCGCGGCCAUUGGUGCCUCUCUGGACGGAUGGCGACCUAAGCAAUCGCCAGUGUCACCCGUGGCUAGAACCAGCCUUACACUACGAGGAGGACCUCUAUCUUGUAAACAUUACUUGAAGAAAAACACGUUUUCAUCGUACAAAAAUGCCAAGUUACGCACACAAAGCACUGUAAGUCAUUAAGACUUGCAAAAUCUUUACAUGGUAAAAUAAAAAAAUAAAAACACAGGGCCAAGUUAAUUUAAAUUGUGUAGCAGCAUUGGUUCAGAAUACAGCAUGUUAAAUUUGUGUUCGCUAAGAUAGCCAAUAUUGUUUCUUUUAACUUGGCCUAAUUUUCAUAUGAGUAUCGAAAUAUCGAAGUAAUGGCAGGCCUAGAUUUUGUGAGUCUUAAUUACUUAUAGUGCUUUGUUGGUGUGAGUAGCUUGGCAUUUUUGUACAUUGAAAACAUGUUUUUCUUCAAAAAUCAUUUCUUUUUGCACAGUGUUUGUUAUGAGAAACUGAUAACAGUAAUGCAUAUAAAUGCAGAUUAUGAGUGGCUACACACAUCGUAGCCAGUCCACUAGAUCUAGACUGCUGUGAUUGGGAGGCAGACUGAUAUUUUUGGGGGGUCAACUUUAUCACAGAAUUUGUGAUGAGUAGGUCAGUAGAUGUGGAUGUAAAAAUGCGAACCAACCCUUUAAGAAACGCUUAUGGAUUACAGUUGUCCUUAUCUGAACCUUUACAGCCUGAUCAAGGUUUACCGUUUAGCAGUGGCACUUUGCUAUAUAUAUAUAUAUAUAUAUAUAUAUAUAUAUAUAUCGGGUGAACCAUGGAAGAAUUGCAGCCCUUUUUAUACAUAGUCGCUACUCAUUUUAGGGUAGAAAAAGUAAUUUGAUAAAUUAACAUAAUUUGAAAUAAAGCCAUUGUGCAUUGUGAGAACGGC